rnacentral:misc_RNA from 1 species
ACAAACAGGACAGAAAUACUCUCCAGGAUAGGUAUGGAUGUCAAUUAUGCAUUCAAUAUCAAAACCCAUAUCAACUCAGGAGUAAGAAAGUUUUCCACAACACAUCAAUGCAAUUAUGCUUCUGGUAGAUGAAAGCUGCUCUUGAUGUGCAAACUGUACAAAAAAAAUCGACCAAGCGGCAAGAUUAAAUGAAGAACCAAAAGAAACCCUAAAUUCAGUUCACUCUAAUACGAAAACAUACAUCAAAAAGAGAACCAG